rnacentral:rRNA from 1 species
AACGCGAAGAACCUUACCUGGCCUUGACAUGCAUCUCUAAACCGGUGAAAGCCGGCGAGUCUCGAAAGAGACAAUUUGCACAGGUGCUGCAUGGCUGUCGUCAGCUCGUGUCGUGAGAUGUUGGGUUAAGUCCCGCAACGAGCGCAACCCUUGUGAACUGUUGCCACUCCCUUUGUUGGGAAGCACUCUGUUCAGACUGCCCUGUGAAACGGGGAGGAAGGUGAGGAUGACGUCAAGUCAGUAUGGCCCUUACGGCCAGGGCUGCACACGUACUACAAUGCCCAGUACAGAACGAUCCGAGACCGCGAGGUGGAGGAAAUCUAUCAAAACUGGGCCCAGUUCGGAUUGGAGUCUGCAACUCGACUCCAUGAAGCCGGAAUCGCUAGUAAUGGCGUAUCAGCUACGACGCCGUGAAUACGUUCCCGGGCCUUGUACACACCGAGACGUA